rnacentral:rRNA from 1 species
GUGGGGAAUAUUGGGCAAUGGGGGCAACCCUGACCCAGCGACGCCGCGUGGAGGAAGAAGUCCCUCGGGAUGUAAACUCCUGUUGUGUGGGAAGAAGCGAGUGACGGUACCACACGAGGAAGCCCCGGCAAACUACGUGCCAGCAGCCGCGGUAAUACGUAGGGGGCGAGCGUUGUCCGGAAUCACUGGGCGUAAAGGGCACGCAGGCGGACCGACAGGUCGUUUGUGAAAGGCGAGGGCUCAACCCUUGUUUGCGGACGAAACCGUCGGACUGGAAGACCGGAGAGGGAAGUGGAAUGCCCGGUGUAGCGGUGAAAUGCGUAGAUGUCGGGAGGAACACCAGUGGCGAAGGCGGCUUCCUGGCCGGAUACUGACGCUCAAGUGCGAAAGCUGGGGGAGCGAACGGGAUUAGAUACCCUGGUAGUCC